UGAAAAUCUGAUUACUAAGCACAAAACCUAUUCCGGCAACUCCAGUGGCAUUGAAAGAAUCUUGGCUAGAAGGAAAAACUUGCAGAUGUAUUACAAGGUAGUUGUCAUCUGAAUCUAUUGUUGGGUUAUGGAGGGAAACUGAUUCCACGGGCAGUUGACUAUUUUGGAAGGAUUGCAUCAAGGACUUUUGGAGAAUCUCAUAAGUAGUUCUAUUUCCCAAGUUCGAAAAGGAAGGAGCUCUGAAGACUAUGUUGCCUGUAUAUGGAAAAGCACAUUUACAGGUAGGACUAGAAACUCGAUUAGAGCUGCAGUCUGUUGGCA